UCAUGCAACCAUACUACCCUGAAGGUACCCAAAGUCUUCUGAUCUUGGAAGCUAAGCAGGGUUGGACCUGGUUAGUACUCGGUUGGGAGACCACCUGGGAAUACCAGGUGAUGUAGGCU
rnacentral:rRNA from 1 species